rnacentral:rRNA from 1 species
UAGGGAAUAUUAGAAAUGGACGAAAGUCUGAUCUAGCAACACCGCGUGUGCGAAGAAGGCCUUCGGGUCGUAAAGCUCUGUCCUCAAGGAAGAUAAUGACGGUACUUGAGGAGGAAGCCCCGGCUAACUACGUGCCAGCAGCCGCGGUAAUACGUAGGGGGCUAGCGUUAUCCGGAAUUACUGGGCGUAAAGGGUGCGUAGGUGGUUUCUUAAGUCAGAGGUGAAAGGCUACGGCUCAACCGUAGUAAGCCUUUGAAACUGGGAAACUUGAGUGCAGGAGAGGAGAGUGGAAUUCCUAGUGUAGCGGUGAAAUGCGUAGAUAUUGGGAGGAACACCAGAGGCGUAGGCGGUUCUCUAGGCUAGUCCUGACACUGAGACACGAAAGCUAGGGGAGCAAACG